rnacentral:rRNA from 1 species
GAGCCAUGCAUGCCCGCUCACCCGGGACGCGGCGGACGGCUCAGGACGACGGUUGCACCCCCCGCGGCGGUCCCUGCUAGCCGGACACCGCUGGCAACCCGGCGCCAAGACGUGCGCGCAAGGGCGGGCGCCCGCGGGCGAGCAGCGUGACGCAGCGACGGCCCGCCCGGGCUUCCGGGGCAUCACCCGGUCGGCGCGGUCGCGGCGCGCCGAGGGCCCGACGCCUGGCGGAGAAUCAGGGUUC